rnacentral:lncRNA from 1 species
ACUGUUUUAUUUAGAAAGAUUCUUUUAUUUGGCUAAUGAAUGACUUGAAACGCGAGAUUAACUUGUUUCACCUACUUAUGUAACAUCUCUGCUUCAGGGCUUAGAAGCUGCAGCUAUGCGAUUCAGUCUGUGAGCCUCCAGGUACCCAAGGAGAUGCUGCCCAGUUAAAUCAGAUUUCGUUACAGCUGUGAUCCAAGCCAUGAAGUGAAAACUCAAAGGAUAUAAAGAUUUGUGAUCGUUUGAUAGCUUUUGAAUCACCUGCAGUUCAGAUGCAUUUGAGUGUGGCUCAAGAAACUGUCUUGUGACUACAGAAGGCACCACAUGGGCUUGCAGUUUCCUUGGACUGCAGAAUCCUAAAGGGAGUGAAAUGACCCUAUUCAAUUCCCCAGUGCAGGUACACAGGAUUAAAGGAAACACCUGAUUUGCACAUCUGUUUCUUUUCAAAUGGAAAUGAAGUGGAGGAUAGUAAGCUUUUGAAUGCAGUGGUGCUGUUUGCUUGUUUGUUUCAAAACUCAGGCAAAAAAAAAAUGGGAAUAAUAAGACAUCCAGCAUCCAACUCUGUGUCGCAUUCAAGGAGAAGGAGUUUAGAUUCCUCUCCAAAAUGUAUGCUUUUCUGAGAAAGUCAGAAGAGUUAAUGAAAAAAGUCCCAAUUCUGAAGACUGAGAAACUCUG